UACGGAGGAUGCAAGCGUUAUCCGGAAUGAUUGGGCGUAAAGCGUCCGCAGGUGGCUGUGUAAGUCUGCUGUCAAAGAGCGAAGCUCAACUUCGUAAAGGCAGUGGAAACUACACGGCUAGAGUGCGUUCGGGGCAGAGGGAAUUCCUGGUGUAGCGGUGAAAUGCGUAGAGAUCAGGAAGAACACCGGUGGCGAAGGCGCUCUGCUAGGCCGCAACUGACACUGAGGAACGAAAGCGUGGGGAGCGAACAGG
rnacentral:rRNA from 1 species